rnacentral:rRNA from 1 species
UGCCAGCAGCCGCGGUAAUACGGGGGAUGCAAGCGUUAUCCGGAAUCACUGGGCGUAAGGCGCGCGUAGGUGGUUUGGUAAGUCAGAUGUGAAAGCCCCAGGCUCAACCUGGGAAUUGCAUUUGAAACUGCCUCACUAGAGUAUGGUAGAGGGAAGUGGAAUUCCGGGUGUAGCGGUGAAAUACGUAGAUAUCCGGAGGAACAUCAGUGGCGAAGGCGACUUCCUGGACCAAUACUGACACUGAGGUGCGAAAGCGUGGGUAGCAAACAGGAUUAGAUA